rnacentral:tRNA from 1 species
GCACCCGUAGCUCAAUUGGAUAGAGACUUGACUACGAAUCAAGGGGUUAGAGGUUCGAGUCCUCUCGGGUGCA